CCUGAGUUUUAUUAUGGCACGUUUUGCAAACACAAAAUAUUAUUUCAGUUUUUUUUUUUAAACGUCUAGUUGUUGCUUUUAGUUCUGUGAACUAAAAGUGGGCACUGUGGGUUUUAAGCAACUGGAUAAGAGAAGCGAUUAAGGAAAUUCAUGGAUAGACAAACUAAAAUGUAUUUCAGUGUAUUUUAAUGUGGUUUUAGUUACCCUUGUUUGGGUGUGAAGAAACUUCACAGUGUAACCAAGUAUGUAAUCAGCAGAUUAUGUUUUAAAAAGCAUACAUAGCAGAUCGUUACAUGGAGAAACCUUUUGAAUACAAGCGUGCUGAUCCACACAGGUGUUCACAGACACAAACUACUACUGUCGAUCUUGCGUGCUGCACAAUAACAUGUAAUAUUUAGUAUCUACUGUUAUCUACUGUUAGCUAGUUUAUUGUGAUGGUGUUGUAUUUAUUAUGUUGCUCUUUUUUGUUUGUUUUCUCUUCUGUGUUUUUUUUUUAUCUCCAUACAGGUGAUCCUGGUGUUUUGUUUGUUUUUCUUUUUUUUCUUCCCCCCUUUCUCACCAUCUCUUCUCCCCUCUAUUUUUCUUUCUCUCCCUCUAUUUCUUUCAUUCUUUCUCCCUGUCCUAUCCCCCAGUCAUGUCUGUCCCGUCUGUAACAACCAAAAAUCAAAUCAAAUAAAUACAUAAUUAUAAUAAAGAUCAAUCAAAUGGACCAAUAUGGCAAGGCCAUGAUAAUUCAGUUGGUAAAGUAGAUCCGCUUGGCAUCUUUCUUGCCCUUCAGACAACAAUUCUGAUGGCUAAAGAUCCAAACGGGACAGGCAACAAAAAAAAAAAAGUGUACAUUUGAGAAAUCCAUAGUAGGGAGAUGAACUGGAGUGCACACCGAGUGAGAAAGUGAUUAAAGUUAUUGUCUAAAAAUGAGAAACAGAAGACAAUUAUGCAGCCCUAUUUAUCUUUUUAUUGUUACCACUUUGUCCUCUUGCACUGGCCCUGCCUUUGUUUUCUGCAUCUCCUCUGCAAUUGCAGGAGUGUGUUCCUCGUGUUUCAGUGGGUAGGGGCAAACCCAGUGCAUUCAGUCAUCCAUCCUUCCCUGGAUCAUGUGCUGCUCACCUCUCUAGAAAAGUUACAAAAUAAUGGGUUGUAAUCUGAUUUCGAUUGAUGUUUGUAGAUACCUGGCCUGUCUUCCCCCUUCAAAGAAAAGAAGUUUGGGUGUGUGAACACCACCCUCUUUGUCGGUCCAGCUGAUGGACAGAUAACAAUUCAGAUGUGUCUGUUGCUC
ensembl:lncRNA